rnacentral:lncRNA from 1 species
AAAAUGUGCAGUGUUGGGGUGCCUCCAGGACAGGGUUGGAAACCACUAAACUAGUUGAUUGGUCUGAACAUCUGUAUUAAUUCAAAUGGACAUGGAAGUGUCUACAGAACUGUAAAUAUCAUUUACUAAGAGAAACUAGAGACGUUUGGGGACCUGCGUUUGCCAGAGACACACCGAAGGAUUACGGGGACGGGAUCAUUUUACCCCAAAAAUGUGGCAGCUACACAAAAGCAUCCCAUCCGGCUGGACCUGAGGGACCAGAGGAGGGAGGGGUUACCACGGUGAUGGCAGAAUCCAGGAAACUCGAGAUGACAUAA